GACGAACGCUGGCGGCAUGCCUAACACAUGCAAGUCGAACGAGACCUUCGGGUCUAGGGGCGCACGGGUGCGUAACGCGUGGGAACCUGCCCUUAGGUUCGGAAUAACUCCCCGAAAGGGGUGCUAAUACCGGAUAAUGUCUUCGGCCCAAAGAUUUAUCGCCUUUGGAUGGGCCCGCGUUGGAUUAGCUAGUUGGUAGGGUAAAAGCCUACCAAGGCGACGAUCCAUAGCUGGUCUGAGAGGAUGAUCAGCCACACUGGGACUGAGACACGGCCCAGACUCCUACGGGAGGCAGCAGUGGGGAAUAUUGGACCAUGGGCGAAAGCCUGAUCCAGCAAGGCCGCGUGAGUGAUGAAGGCCUUAGGGUUGUAAAGCUCUUUUACCCGGGAUGAUAAUGACAGUACCGGGAGAAUAAGCUCCGGCUAACUCCGUG
rnacentral:rRNA from 1 species